GACGAACGCUGGCGGCGUGCUUAACACAUGCAAGUCGAACGGAAAGGCCUGCUUUCCCUUGUGGAUUGCGGGUACUCGAGUGGCGAACGGGUGAGUAACACGUGAGUGAUCUGCCCCCAACUUGGGUAUAAGCCUGGGAAACUGGGUCUAAUUCCCGAUAGGACUGCAGGGUGGUGCCUGUGGUGGAAAACGAUUUUCUAGUGGUUGGGGAUGAGCUCGCGGCCUAUCAGCUUGUUGGUGGGGUAAUGGCCUACCAAGGCGGCGACGGGUAGCCGGCCUGGGAGGGUGGACGGGCACAUUGGGACUGAGAUACGGCCCAGGCUCCUACGGGAGGCAGCAGUGGGGAAUAUUGCACAAUGGGCGGAAGCCUGAUGCAGCGACGCCGCGUGGGGGAUGACGGCCUUCGGGUUGUAAACUCCUUUCGACCGCGAGGAAGCCACCUGGUUGGAAGGGUGGUGACGGUAGUGGUAGAAGAAGCACCGGCUAACUACGUG
rnacentral:rRNA from 1 species